rnacentral:rRNA from 1 species
AUUGAACGCUGGCGGCGCGCCUAAUACAUGCAAGUCGAGCGAGAAGGUGUAGCAAUACACUUGUAAAGCGGCGAACGGGUGAGGAAUGCAUGGGUAACCUACCCUCGAGUGGGGAAUAACUAGCCGAAAGGUUAGCUAAUACCGCAUACGUUUCCGGAACUUCGGUUUCGGAAAGAAAGCAAUACCGUGGGUAUUGCGCUCCUGGAUGGGCUCAUGUCCUAUCAGCUUGUUGGUGAGGUAACGGCUCACCAAGGCUUCGACGGGUAGCUGGUCUGAGAGGACGAUCAGCCACACUGGCACUGCGACACGGGCCAGACUCCUACGGGAGGCAGCAGUAAGGAAUAUUGCGCAAUGGACGAAAGUCUGACGCAGCGACGCCGCGUGGGGGAUGAAGGUCUUCGGAUUGUAAA